GGUUAAGUUAGAAAGGGCGCACGGUGGAUGCCUUGGCACUAGGAGCCGAUGAAGGACGGGACGAACACCGAUAUGCUUCGGGGAGCUGUAAGCAAGCUUUGAUCCGGAGAUUUCCGAAUGGGGAAACCCACUGCUCGUAAUGGAGUAGUAUCCAUACUUGAAUACAUAGAGUAUGAGAAGGCAUACCCGGGGAACUGAAACAUCUAAGUACCCGGAGGAAGAGAAAGCAAAUGCGAUUCCCUGAGUAGCGGCGAGCGAAACGGGAACAGCCCAAACCAAGAGGCUUGCCUCUUGGGGUUGUAGGACACUCUAUACGGAGUUACAAAGGAACGAUAUAAGCGAAGAGGUCUGGAAAGGCCCGCCAAAGAAGGUAACAGCCCUGUAACUGAAAUGUUGUUCUCUCCAGAGUGGAUCCUGAGUACGGCGGAACACGUGAAAUUCCGUCGGAAUCCGGGAGGACCAUCUCCCAAGGCUAAAUACUCCCUAGUGACCGAUAGUGAACCAGUACCGUGAGGGAAAGGUGAAAAGCACCCCGGAAGGGGAGUGAAAUAGAUCCUGAAACCGUGUGCCUACAAGUAGUCAGAGCCCGUUAAAGGGUGAUGGCGUGCCUUUUGUAGAAUGAACCGGCGAGUUACGAUCCCGUGCAAGGUUAAGCAGAAGAUGCGGAGCCGCAGCGAAAGCGAGUCUGAAUAGGGCGCAUGAGUACGUGGUCGUAGACCCGAAACCAGGUGAUCUACCCAUGUCCAGGGUGAAGUUCAGGUAACACUGAAUGGAGGCCCGAACCCACGCACGUUGAAAAGUGCGGGGAUGAGGUGUGGGUAGGGGUGAAAUGCCAAUCGAACCUGGAGAUAGCUGGUUCUCUCCGAAAUAGCUUUAGGGCUAGCCUCAAGGUAAGAGUCUCGGAGGUAGAGCACUGAUUGGACUAGGGGCCCCUACCGGGUUACCGAAUUCAGUCAAACUCCGAAUGCCGAUGACUUAUCCUUGGGAGUCAGACUGCGAGUGAUAAGAUCCGUAGUCGAAAGGGAAACAGCCCAGACCGCCAGCUAAGGUCCCAAAGUAUACGUUAAGUGGAAAAGGAUGUGGAGUUGCUUAGACAACCAGGAUGUUGGCUUAGAAGCAGCCA
rnacentral:rRNA from 1 species